AAAGAUCAUCAAGGUCAGUAGAGUUGAGAUGCACAAGCUCUGCCUCGCGCUGAAAGCAUCACACCAGCAGAACCUGCAGCUCACACAGACCAAUUCUCAGAUGCUCGCGGAACUAAAUCUGGGGAAAGAUAGAGUAAGCUGUCCUGUUUCUUUUGUGUUUGAGUUUCUUCGAUUGUCAGUACUCAGUAUGGAUUGUUAAUUUGGGAACUAUUUGCGGAUAUAAUGUGCAUCUCAAGGUAUUGCAAUAUGAGCUGUCAUGUACAGUCGCAGUGCUUAAGUAAAGGAUUCAGAACUCGAGGCAAGCAAGAGCAUGGCUUAACUCAGCUUCUUUUUAUUAUAGAUGCCAUGAUUUUUUUACUCAUAUUACGUUUUGCAGCGUAAGAAUAAGACUGUUAAUCAACGGCGGAAGAAAGUAAAUUCACAGGAGGUCAUGAAAGCCAUAACUUCCAAAGUUGCAGCAGUUGAGGCUCAUCGAAUUGAUGGUUCAGUCACCAGUGCCGUUGAACACCAUUUUGUUGAAUCUCAAUGUAAAGCUAACACUUCUUUCUCUUCUUUUGUUGUGGAUUUUUGUACUGUACUCAGCAGUCAUUUUGUACCGCUUUAUUCAACACGAGUUGUCUGUUGUGUAAGUUUAUUCAUGGUGGUUUCGGUCAGUAUUGUGGCAUUCUCAUUUUGCUAGCUUUGUAAUGUACUAUUGUCUUAUGAGUGUUACAUUCCAAAUAGUAAUAGUAAUCAGCAAUGGUCUGCCAUCGGCACAUUUGAUUCAUCGGUGUUCCGCAAUCAAUUCAUGUGCAAUUGUUAUUUCAUUCAGGACUCUUCUUUCUUAUCAUCAUAUUUUAAAAUUAUGUUUGUUAGAGAGCUCGAAUCAUCAGGACUCAGCUUUAGGAGAUGCAGAUUUUGCAUUGCAAUACAACCCAGCACAAACAUGGUGACUGUGCACUGUUGCGAAAAUUCAUCAUGGUUUGUUGAGUUCCAAUACAAAGCAACUUAAAUUGACCAGCAAGGCUGCGAUGGAAGAUUUCACAAACAAUAUCCUCUUAUAGUCUACACAAUAGGAACAUGUAGCUCUCCUUUCUAUAUUUGGGUUGGAACAAGUCUAUGUUGCUUUGUAUGAUUGUCACCUGCAAAGAAUUGGAAUAAGCCUAAGUUGUUUUGUAUGAUUUGUCACUUGCAAAGAGGAUAAGUCGUUCGUAAAUAUUCUUCUGCAUGUGAUGAAUAUUUUUUCCCCUUAAUUUGUGGGUUACCCCUCUUUAGACAUGAUGGGAACA